AGUGAACGCUGGCGGUAGGCCUAACACAUGCAAGUCGAACGGCAGCACAGGAGAGCUUGCUCUCUGGGUGGCGAGUGGCGGACGGGUGAGGAAUACAUCGGAAUCUACUCUGUCGUGGGGGAUAACGUAGGGAAACUUACGCUAAUACCGCAUACGACCUACGGGUGAAAGCAGGGGACCUUCGGGCCUUGCGCGAUUGAAUGAGCCGAUGUCGGAUUAGCUAGUUGGCGGGGUAAAGGCCCACCAAGGCGACGAUCCGUAGCUGGUCUGAGGGAAGGAUCAGCCACACUGGAAAUGAGACACUGUCCAGACUCCUACGGGAGGCAGCAGUGGGGAAUAUUGAACAAUGGGCGCAAGCGUGAUCCAGCCAUACCGCGUGGGUGAAGAAGGCGUUCGGGUUGUAAAGCCCUUUUGUUGGAAAAGAAAUCCAGCUGGCUAAUACCCGGUUGGGAUGACGGUACCCAAAGAAUAAGCACCGGCUAACUUCGUGCCAGCCGCCGCAGUAA
rnacentral:rRNA from 1 species